rnacentral:rRNA from 1 species
UCCUAAGGCCAGCUCAGUGAGGACAGAAACCUCGCGUAGAGCAAAAGGGCAAAAGCUGGCUGAUCCAGAUUUCAGUACGAAUACGGACCGCGAAAGCGGGGCCUAUC